UUUUUUUGGAUCCAGACGACCACAUAACAACUUGUCGAACGAUUUUAAUUUGCUUGCAGCUUCAAAGAAGCAAUCCUGAAAUUCAAAAAAAGAAAUUUCCUGGUAACCUGGUAAUAUCUGUUAUAUGAUGCAAUUCACAUGGGAGUAUGGACCUCAAAUUCAAAUUCAAGAGAUAGUUGGCAGGUUGUAUCUUGAGUACCUAUGUUCUAGGAGAAUUCCAAAUUUUUUAAGAUUAGGCAAGGGCACAGAGACUUAUAUUAUCAGUGUUACGCAGUGUUUCUUAACACAAACCGAUAAAAAUGCCAACAAAUAGGCUUUGUACCCCCCAAGACUGGGAAAUACUCUCAACAAUCAGAAAAAGGCUAUCAGCUAAUUUGAAUUAUCGUGUAUUUUACAGGCCUAAGACAAAUGCAUAGUUUAUACCAAGUCCUGAUAAUAAUUGCCUUAGGUGGCAUGCUAUUUCUCUUAAUAUUUGGACUUGGAAAGCUUGUAUAUACCUUUGAAGGCACAUUAUAUUAAUUUGAACGUUUAUAAUGCACAAAAACGUGUUAUAUUUAUGGCUUCAUUAAAAAUAAGAUUUUAAAGUACCAAAUUAUCAGCUUGAAUUGGCAUGUUUGUGGUAUCCUUUUCAUACAGCAGAAGAAAAGUGAGUUGCGAAGGUAUGGAUGAUUUGAAAUUUAUAUUUACGUUUUUUCCUUGGUUUGAUGUAGCUAGCUCACUAAAUUACUUUUUGGUGCCUGUGGCCACCAUGGAAAAUUAUUUUUGCUGUCAUCCUUCAAUCGAAUCAUUAGCUAGCUAGCUACAUACCUACCUCUAGCUACAGUCAGAAGAAGAAAAUUCAAUUCAUAAUGAUUAACAAAACUCUUUCUUUUUAAAUUUUAUUACACAAUUUUUAAAUAUUUCCUAAAACUCAAGUUGUAUCUUUUUGAUGUUGCAUUGUCACCAAUCCAAAACUAACGGGAACAUACCUUUUUAUUCGUUAAGGUAUUUGCUCAUUUGUUGUUAAAAACUUUUGUACUGUUGCUACUAGCCUUUUUACUGAUAUAUGUUCUAAAUCUGAACUAUUAUAUCAAACAGUGCCUUUACCUGGAAGUUCUACUUUGUUUACCUACUUUAGAAGUGAGCUUAUGUACGACGUGUGAAGUCACAAAUGAACAAUUGGACUUUUGUUCGAUAAUGGUGGCAACCGUUAAUGUAAUUAUUGUUUUUGGGAGAUUACAUUUGGACAUAUAUAAAAUGUUUAAAAAAGAUAAAAAAAAAUUAGAGCUUCAUCAUUUUCUUUACGACGCUAUGUUUUUGCUUUGUGUUUCACGAGCUUACAAUAAUGUGGUAUAGUUAAGUUAUGAUACGUAAAAACUACUCUUGAAUGACCCUUUAGGAAUGUGAAACCACAUAAUACACUUUUAUCAAAUUUUGUGUUUUUUUGUAACUUUUGUGUUCAGUAUGGUAGAUUAGUAUGCGUGUCAACUGGCCAAAAAAGAAAAAAAAAGUAGUGAUCUAUAUUUUAUGUGGUUAGCCUCAUUAAUUCCAAUAAAUUUACCCUGUCAAUUUUGUGCCAGGAGGGACAACAUGACGGUUCUAGAGUGCUAAAAAGCUUCCAUUUGAGCUACAAAAACCCUUUAAAUUUCUGUUCAAUAAGGUACAGUUGUUAUGUGGGAUUGAACCCAUAUGAAUGUGAAGUCAACGCUCUACCGACUGAACUACCAAUCCCUAAAAGAAGACAAUCCUUUAAAACAGAGUUUCAUGACUUUAUUAAUUCUAUCAAGCAUGUGUCAAGCAUAUCGUAUUUAGUUAAUGCUUUUUGAGCACUCUGUUCCAAAAAAUGAUAUAUAUUUUUAGUCUAGAAAUUUAGCUCUAAAUAUCGUCCCUCAAAGGCACUGGAUUUUGAUGUAUUUAGAGACUUUGCUAUAUAUAUAAUAUACUAUAUAAAAAUGUUUUCUGUUUCUUUAUAGAUUGUGUACAAUGAGAGCGAGAGAUGUUAUCUUUCAAUACAUGAGAUAAAAAGAAGAAAGCGAAACCUCACACCUCGUUGUUAUUGUUUUUCUGUCAAAAAUUUGAAGCUGUUUUAUAAAUCUUGAUAAAGUUAAUAAAUUGUUUUUGUUUCUGUA